CAAUAAGCGGAGGAAAAGAAACCAACAGGGAUUGCCCUUAGUAACGGCGAAGUGAAGCGGCAACAGCUCAAAUUUGAAAUCUGGCUUCGGCCCGAGUUGUAAUUUGUAGAGGAAGCUUUUGGUGAGGCACCUUCUGAGUCCCCUGGAACGGGGCGCCAUAGAGGGUGAGAGCCCCGUAUAGUCGGAUGCCGAUCCAAUGUAAAGCUCCUUCGACGAGUCGAGUAGUUUGGGAAUGCUGCUCAAAAUGGGAGGUAAAUUUCUUCUAAAGCUAAAUACCGGCCAGAGACCGAUAGCGCACAAGUAGAGUGAUCGAAAGAUGAAAAGCACUUUGAAAAGAGGGUUAAAUAGCACGUGAAAUUGUUGAAAGGGAAGCGUUUGUGACCAGACUUGCGCCGUUCCGAUCAUCCGGUGUUCUCACCGGUGCACUCGGGGCGGCUCAGGCCAGCAUCGGUUUUGGUGGGGGGAUAAAGGUUCGGGGAACGUAGCUCCUCCGGGAGUGUUAUAGCCCCGGGCGUAAUGCCCUCGCCGGGACCGAGGUUCGCGCAUCUGCAAGGAUGCUGGCGUAAUGGUCAUCAACGACCCGUCUUGAAACACGGACCAAGGAGUCAAGGUUUUGCGCGAGUGUUUGGGUGUAAAACCCGCACGCGUAAUGAAAGUGAACGUAGGUGAGAGCUUCGGCGCAUCAUCGACCGAUCCUGAUGUAUUCGGAUGGAUUUGAGUAAGAGCGUUAAGCCUUGGACCCGAAAGAUGGUGAACUAUGCUUGGAUAGGGUGAAGCCAGAGGAAACUUCUGGUGGAGGCUUCGCAGCGGUUUCUGACGUGCAAAUCGAUUCGUCAAAUCUGAGCAUGGGGGGCGAAAGACUAAUCGAACCAUCUAGUAGCUGGUUACCGC
rnacentral:rRNA from 1 species